CUAUAUAUCCUUCACUUUGUUGAUUCUCAAUGCCCAAGGCAGUUCCAGUGUGGAAAUCUUGGCAAUUUGGAGUUUCCUCUGGCCAAUUCUUCGGGAUGUGGAUUGUUCACGGUUGACUGCAGUGCUCGGCCGAAUCCAAAAAUUCAACUGGAUAAUUAUUGGCAUUCAACAUCCUUUUCCUUUGAUAUUAUGAACAAGUCAUCUCCCAAUGAAAUAUUUAUUCGAAAUCCAUUUCGUGAACGUGUUUUAUAUAAUAAUAAGGAAAUAUGCUAUUUAUUUUUUCUUCUCCCUAUGCCACACUCUCCUUCGAUUUCGAUUUCGUUCUUCCCCAAUAUCACUCUGUUUAAAUGCGCCAAAUAUAGGAACUACGACAAUGAGAUACCUCAUUUCCAAGAAAUUUAUGGAAACUACGAUGGUUGUGAUUUCUUCAAUAUAUACUACCCCAGGUCGAAUGGAAGUCUUCCGCCCCCCAACGACUGUUCAGUUCUUCCCUUGCCAGGCAAUUUACAGUGUUACUCAGAUUCAUUGGACUUGUUCCAGCGGUUAGGCUCUGAUUGUCUUCUAAAAUGGAAUGUGUCUGAUGAUUGUCGUAAUUGCCACAGAAAAGGAGGAAACUGCACAACUAACAUGAAGAAUGAAUUUCGAUGUGAUAAAGGUACCAUCGGCCUUUGAACAUGGAUGAUUACGAGUCAUCCCUCUACAUAUUUUCUUUUGUUUUGCAUUUUUGCCCGCAAUCCAGAACAGGGUUCAAGCGAUUUAAACUUUAAAACAUAUAGAAUUGUUUGAUUAUAUGUCACUGACAAUUUAUCACGUGAUCGCUAUAUGCCAGUCCUCACGAGUACAGUUGUUUAUAUCCUUCCCUCACAUAGAUGUGUUCUUCAUGCCUUGUUGCGGGUUUCAUUUUUCUUUCUUCAGUUGAGUUUGAACUGACAUAUUUGCACGUUGACUAUGGCUACAGAGAAAAGGAGGGAUUUGAAGAAGAUUCUAGCCGCAGGUAAAUGUGGUAAAGGAAUGCAGAUACAUUACAUAUUAGAUGUCAAACUCCCAUUCUUACUUUCAAAACUUCUUUACAUAAUUUUUUCCAAUUGAGGUUUUCCUUUUCAAUUUUUGGUUUCUGAGUUCUUGAUUUCUCUGUUUAUGGUUUUCAGCUAUACCUGGAAGUAUAGUCACACUUUGCGUGGUAGGUUUUUUCAUUUGGCGCCAUAAAAAAAGAAUCAAUGAUGCAUACUUACUUUCGAGGAACAUAUCCACCGAUCCCUCAAAAUCAGACAUUGAAGGCGGGAGUCUCUUCUUUGGUAUCGCCAUCUUCACCUAUACAGAACUUGAAGAGGCUACCAAUAAUUUUGAUUCUUCUAAAGAACUUGGAGACGGAGGUUUUGGAACUGUCUACUACGGUAAGAAUCUAUUAGUCAUUAUGAAGCAACGUCAAUCAAAAUCAUGAUAGAUAAAAUUGUCUGCUAGGUGUAUAACUGUUUAAUACUAAUAGUAAGUCUGACUUCUUUUCUAAUUAGGCAAACUCCGGGAUGGAAGAGAAGUAGCAAUAAAGCGCCUCUACGAGCAUAACUACAAACGAGUAGAGCAGUUCAUGAAUGAAAUCAAAAUCCUUACUUGCUUGAGGCACCUGAAUCUUGUUUCUCUUUAUGGCUGUACAUCUAGGCACAGCCGGGAACUCCUACUCGUUUACGAGUACAUUCCUAAUGGCACAGUUGCGGAUCAUAUCCAUGGUGACAGAGCUAAUGAAGCACCACUUUCAUGGCCAAUUCGCAUGAAAAUUGCCAUAGAGACUGCUUGUGCAUUGGCAUACCUGCAUGCAUCUGAUAUAAUACAUCGCGAUGUGAAGACUAACAACAUACUGCUCGAUAACAGUUUUUGUGUCAAAGUUGCGGAUUUCGGGCUUUCAAGACUCUUCCCUAAUGAUGUCACUCAUAUAUCAACUGCCCCUCAGGGGACCCCUGGAUAUGUGGAUCCGGAAUAUCAUCAAUGUUACCAACUUACUAAUAGAAGUGACGUAUACAGCUUUGGAGUUGUCCUCAUUGAGCUCAUAUCAUCAAUGCCUGCAGUGGAUAUAAGUAGGCAUAGGCACGAAACCAACUUGGCCAACUUAGUGGUAAGCAGGAUACAACGGUGUGCAUUUCCCGACUUAAUCGAUCCAUCUCUUGGAUUUGGAUCUGAUGCUGAAGUUACAAGGAUGACUACUUCAGUGGCGGAGUUAGCUUUCCGAUGUUUGCAACGUGAAAAGGAUCUGAGGCCUUCUAUGGACGAAGUAUUAGCAUUUCUGAAGGAGAUAAGGGGCGACGAGGAGGUAGAAAUUGAGAAUAAAAUGGAGACUAUUGAUAGUCACAGUGUUCCAAGAGGUGUAAAGAUCCCACCUUCACCUGAAACAGAUGAUAUUGUAUUGUUGAAGAGCAAGAAUUUGAAAUGCUCACCAAGUGCUGUGACUGAUAUGUGGAUUAGUAACUCUACAACCACUAGUUCCAGUGGGUGAGAUUCCUUUUGUUGUUUCUACAAGUAGAUGAUAGUAAGAAUGUUGUUAAACACUCUAUAUAUUGUUUACCAAAUGGGUGGGACUUAUUUCAUCUUCUAUGCUUUCACCUUCACAAACAGUAAAUAUAGAACUAAAGACUGGGAAUAUGCUAGUAAAAUGAUGUAGCUUUUUCAACAUCUGGUGUGGUGUUUUUGUUGUUUCUACAAGUAGAUGCUGGUAAGAAUGUUGUUAAACACCCUUUAUAUUGUUUGCCAAAUGGGUGGGAUUUAUAUCAUCUUCUAUCCUUUCACCUUCACAAACAGUAAAUAUAGAAAUAAGACUCAGAAUAUGCUAGUAAAUGAUGUAGCUUUUUCAACAUCUGGUGUGGUGUUUUUGUUGUUUCUACAAGUAGAUGCUGGUAAGAAUGUUGUUAAACACCCUUUAUAUUGUUUGCCAAAUGGGUGGGAUUUAUAUCAUCUUCUAUCCUUUCACCUUCACAAACAGUAAAUAUAGAAAUAAGACUCAGAAUAUGCUAGUAAAUGAUGUAACUUUUUAACAUCGAGAUGUGUUGUUCUCUUGCUUGAAUAAUCCAAGAAAAUGUUUGCUAUGCACUACUGACAACUUUGUAUAAAACAAUAUACAACAUUUUAACGUGUUGUUCUUCGUUCGUCCUAUUAGAGGAUGUUAAAUCCAGUGCAUCAAACAUUUGGUACGCCAACGAUAGUUUUUAGUAAACUGAUAUGCAUUGCCACCAGUACAGCACAUACCACGCAUCUGAGAUGAUGCCAUUCCUGUCAUUCUGUCAAAAGUGAAGAACUCUUUGGUUUUAUUUGAGAGUUAUGUUGCAUUGAUUUCAUAAGAAUUGUUCUACAUUAACACUUGGCAGCAUUUCAUUGGUAGUUGGACAAAAAAUAUUUUUCAACUACCCAAUCACAAUUUACCAACUUGCAUAACUCUUUAUUUGAAUAAUGGAACUGACAAAGAAAAUUAAGAAAUUUUCUAGGGAUGUUUUUCUUUUCCUUGUCAUGGGGCGUUUGGAUCUCUUACACAACUAGUAAAAAUAUUCCAAACAAAUUUUCAUGCUUUUAAAGGACCAAAAUUUAUAUGCGAUUUUAAUGGAAUUAAAGUUGAUCAUAUACCAGCUGACAUAGUAGAAGAAAUAUGAAUUGGAAAAGCCUGUUAGAGCAUCUCAAAGAGGUUUUAUGAAUCCAAGAUGUUUUCUGUUUUAGGGAGCCUAUGCAAAAAUAACGAAAAGAUCACAGACACAAGAUCUUUCACCAAUUUUAUUAUUUGAUCUUUUAGUUGGUUUAGUAGAAUUUUAAACUAUUUUCAUCAUUUGCAAAAUUCAAAUUUAUUGUGUAUUUUGUUGUUAAAAUUAAAUUUAACUAUUGUGUAAUUGAGUAAUUAUUCAUGUGGGAUUCAAAACCCGGGCCGUUUGUCCACUUAUUACUUGUACGUGACUUGUGAGCCCGCGGUACACUUUUUUAGCGAAAAACAUGCCGACGCCAUUUUUAUAAAUUUAGUAAUCAAAAUUCGACUAUCUCAAAAUUCAUUGAGCAAUCGAAUACGUUUUCUAAAGUUUGUUGAACAAUGAAAAACGUUUUCUCAUGUGACAAUUUGGUAAAGACAUGACGGGACUCCACAUGUGCAUUCCAUUAGCUACGACAAAUUUCGUUGGAAGUUUGAAACGGGUGUUAUGCCAAUAAGUAAUGUCCAACGUUUGGAUAGAUUUAAUGGUUAAAACUCGACAUUUUAAACUUUAAUUAGCAAUCGAAAAUACAUACACAAGUUCAGUAAAUAUUGAGAUAAUUAACUCUGCUAAACAUGGGCUAAAUAAAAGAGCUUUUAUUUUCUGUUGAAAAUUUGAGCUGUCACCCAUGAUUUAAAAAAAUUGUUGAAAGUAGCUUGUAUUUGCUACUUUCAGCACAAAAAAAAAAAAAAAAAAAAAAAGGAAGGAAAGAGAGAGAGAGAGAGAGAGAGGCAACCUUGCUACGUUACCAGCUAGAUUUUGCCACAUUUCUUGAUAUUGACAUUCUGUCAUUGGCCGGUUAAAAAGAAAAGGGACAAUUUUUGCACCAAUCACUUGCUACACUUCAUCUAUCAUUUGGAAUGUCUAGGGAUGGCAAUGGGCCGAAUCGGCCUUUAACUCACGAGCUCGGCUCGGGCUGAUGGCGAGCCUAGCUCGAGCUCGACUCGUUGCUUGGGGGAGCUCAGCCCAUGAGCUCGCGAGGCCGACCGUGUUAAGCAUAGGCGCGGAGAACACCCUUCUUUGGCAAUGCCCAAAAUUGCAAUGGAUUCCACCUUUACCGAGCCCACACGCAGCUCGCGAACUCGUGAUUUUUUUAAUAUUUUUUAAUUAUUAUUAUUAUUAUUUUUUUUUUUGUGUAAAUUUGCACAUUUUUUGACUUUUUUCUAUUCUUCUUCUUCUUCUUCUUCUUUUUUUUUUUGUAAAUUUACAUAUUUUUUGAUGAGCCCACAGCUUGUGGACUCGUCAAAAAUGGCUCGUGGGAUUGAGCCCCCUACUCGGCUCAAGCUCGAGCUCAUCAUUUGAUGAGCAUGAGCCACCCACGAGCCGAGCAUCCCCUCGACCCGUUUGACAUUCCUAUGAAUGUCAAAUUCAUUAGGCAAAGUGGCAUUAUCAACACAACUGGUUUAAUCGGUGUUGCGUUAGUCAAAUGGGAGGUUACAAUUAAUCAAUAAUAAUAAUAAUAAUAGUAAUAAUAAUAAAGUGUGGAUAAGUGAGAGAUUCGUUUUGGAUUUAAAUAUUCUUUUAACUCCUUUUUUUACUGUUGAUUUAAAUUUAGGUAAGAGUCUAAUUGUCAAAAAGGAUUAAUCGGGUUCUAGCCACUAAGAAUUUCAAAAAUUUAUUUUUGAAUCUUUUGCACUUUUUAAUUUUUUGUUAAUUUUUUGAUUUUUUAAUAAUUUAUUUGAGACUCAUUUGCAUUUAAAAAAAAUUCUAAUUUUUUUAAUAAUUUACUUAGGAUUCAUUUGAACUUUUUAAAAAGUAUGUGACUAUGGUUGCAAUAAUUUUUUAUUUUUGUUUUUUUGUUUAAAUAGGAGGGUAUAUUCAUAAUUUCAUGAUUUUUUUGUUGAGAAAUUGGAUGAAAAUCGAUAGAAAAUGAUGGUCCCAUUUAUACAGAUAUGGUAGAGGGGCCUUACAUUGGGCCUAGUGCCCAGGUGGUUUGGCCAAUAGUGGAAGGUAUGAUAGUAAGUGGACGAAAAGGGAAUUUUAGGAAAAAGAUCUUGGAGAUACCAUUGUUUCUUGUACAGAAGUUCCUAUAAAAAUGAUUUCCGACUGGCAUAGAAGUCUCUCGUGUGCCCCCUUGGGGGCUGGGGGGAGAAUUACCAUUCCUUUGCGUAAUCAAAGGUAUAAUUAAAGGUGAAAAUAUCAAAAAAUGAAAGGUGAUGUUUUUCACAAUAGUAGUGAAAGGAAUUAACAUUAUGUGUUAAUUACCAUUUUACUAAUUUAUUUUGAACUGGUUUGCAUUUUAUUUAAAAUGGUACUAUGAUUGCAAUGAGUUCCUUUUUUUCCCCUCUUUUUGUUUAAUUUAAAUUGAAAGAUAUAUUCGACACUUCGUAGCGUUUAAUUGAGAAAAUUGAUGAAAAAUACCUUUUGCGCAAUGAAAUGCGGAAAUGAUGGUAAAAAUGCCAAGAAAAUUGAAAGAUAAUGAUUUUUUCACAAUUAUAGUGAAAGUUAAGGACGAUAUAUGCUAAUAACAGUUUAGAAUACUGCUAAUUAUCAUUAUAAUAAUGGAACAUCGUGAUAUAACAAUUUAUGUGGAAUAAUGAUAUUGGAUAGUUCAAUUUUUACAAGAGAGAUGGGAGAUGUGGUCGAGAGAGAGAGAGAGAGAGAGAGAGAGAGAUAGUAGAUUAGUGUCUCUUGGUCUUGUGUAAUUUAAGUCUUUCAUAAUGAAUUAUUCCGUGUUCUUUUCAUAUAGACUUAUAGCAUAAUGAAUUAAGGUCUUUAUGUAAUUUUGUUAUACUAUUUUCUUUUAUUAAUUAUGCAAAUUUUAUUUAUAAAGCUUUGGUUUUAAAGCAUUAGGUAAAAAGUAUUUUCAAGAGACUCUCUAUUUUUGAAUAAUAUUUUCUAUUAUUUCGAGAUCAUUUAUAAAUUUAGAGAGUAAAAAUUUUAAAUACUCCAAAAUGCUCUUUAUUUUUAAUACUUAAUUUACUACUCUUAAUAUGUAUCUAUUAUUUUCACUAACUUCGCUUCAAAGUAUUAUAUUAAUCUCCUCCAUUUUCUUUGUAUAUAUUAUAUAUUUGGGUCAAUAUAUGUAACACUGAAAAUUGAAAUAUUUUGAUUGUAUUUAAUUAUAGAGAGUGAAUUUGAAUCUUGGAAGAUGAUUUGAAGAGUUGAUUUUUUAAAAUAUAGAGUAUUUCAUUUCUUGAAAAUGCUCUUAUUAUCCGUUCAUAAUUUUAGCCAAUUUCAUUUUGUUUUUGUGGUCCAACCCAGUGAAUUUGAAAUUCAUGUCCCAGACCCAUGUUGUUGCUAUUAAUUUAUUAACCAACUCCAGCAUGCUUGUAUUGCCACCAGCGACAAACAAUGCAUCCUAUUAGUUUGAAUCCAAAUAAUGUCAAUAUAGGGCUAAGUAGGUACUAGAACAAAACUUUAUUUUAAGGUACGCAUUUUAGAGUUUUUUUUUUUUUCAAACUAGAUAUCAAUAUUUUAAUUUUAUGUCAAUUAGAUAACUAAAUUUAAAUUUAAUUUCGAUUAAUGUAACUUUGUUCAAUUUCAUUAACAGUGAUGUGACCAUCAUUUAUUGAUGGUCAACACGUGGGGCCGUCAAUUGUUGAAGUGGAAUAAAUGUAAUAUGAGUGAAAUAAACUUUUUUUUUUUUUUUUUUUUUUUUUUUUUGGGGGUUUUCCAGCUCACGCGCACCUCGAUUAAUCCUAUGGGGCUCUGAAAUUUACACUGAAUACUCAUCUCAGUGGUCCUGAGAGGAUUCGAACUGAUGACCAUUGGGGAGCAAAUUCAAAGUCUGACCACUGAGCUUUCCCUCAGGAUUUGAGUGAAAUAAAUGACGAAAUAAUAUUAAUAACUGUUAGAUAACUAAUUUCUAUCUAUCUAGUAAAUAGAAUCAAAUGAACUUACCAAUUAUAUAUUUAAAUUAAAGUACACUUGUUCGAUGGGCAAAAUUAAACAAAGAGGAAUAAUGACAGACAUUUCACAUUUGAAUAGUUGAAUUGUGAUUGUGACACUAUCUACCUCAUAUGAUAGAAAUUUUGCUUAAAAUUACAUGUUUAAUUGUCAUGCUAAAGUGAGUACAGUAAACAUGUAAAAUUCAAGGAAAUAACUAUCGUUUAAUUUUCCACCACAAUUGAAAAUGACAUGAAGAGUGGGGGCCUUGAAGUUGUUUUUGAUUCGCAGGAAUACAAAAAAAUUCGUUGGAUAUGAAACUUCAGUCAUCAGUAUUAUUUGUUUAGGCUCACUGUUUCAACUUAAUUCUUUUCGUUUUCACAAGUCUUCGUCAAAAAAAUCCAAGUCAACUGUCGUGUUCAUCUUCACUUACGUUGCGUGUAAAUAAAUUAAUUGAAUUGACACAACCUCAGCAGAAAUUGAUUUCUCUAUUCUUCUUGGUUCUUCUGUUUGUUGUUGAGUUAGGCUGGCUAAUGGCGAAUCUAGAAAUUUGAAUCAGCACGAGCGGACGUCGACCGUAUUAAAUAGUGAUUUAAUGGAGAAUGUGUGGUUAAAAAUAAGGAUAAGUUUUGAAUUGUGUGUAAUAUUAUUUUAUUUAAAAAUGUGUGGUUAAAAAUACAAGAGAGAAAAAUAUAUUUUAAAAUAAAUGGGAAUCAAACAAGGUUUAAAAUUUAAAUACAAUAAUUUAUUUUGUUGAAUUUUUGUAAUUGCAUUAAAACCGCUUAAAUCUAAUAUAUAUAUUUUUUGUUUAAAUACUACCACAAAUCAAUAGUUGCCUUAGUGGUCACAUUCUCAACAAGUUGAACUAAACUUCGCAGGUUUGAAUCUCGUUGGCACCAGUUAUUAUUACAUUAAUUUUUGUAAAAAUAGUAUAAUUAAAAAUAUUUGUACUAUACAUUCAGUUGGCUAAAAAAAAUUUGAACCCGGGACCUCAAGGAUGUGUGUGCAAGCUCUAGCCAACCUGCCCUGAAGAAAUGUUGGAGAUAAAAGUAAAUUAUCAAUAAUAUAAUAUAAAUCAUUAACUGUCAACAACAAAAAAAAGGGCGAUCGACGGAUCCAGCACACGCGGCCAUGGGAGCUCGCCAGGUGCUGGAUCCACCACUGGCUGGCAUGGUUUUCUCAUGUAGCGCUGCUUCCAAUUUAGUUGUUUAUAUCUCUCUGUUGUUGGGUAAUUGCCUCAAAAGUCAUAAGUUGGAGGACUUUUAUUACAUAUAGUAAAAUGUAGUUAUUGUAUGGAAGACUUCUAAUUAAAGUUGAGAGCCUUGCAAAAUUUGUUCUCCAAUUUACGAUCGAUUUUGGAGUAUUGCACAUUAAGAAAUUCUUGUUGAGUUAAACGAGUCUUGUUUGAGUUUAAAUUGAACUCUUCUACUUGAUUAUUGAUCCUAUAAAUAAUGGAUGUACUUCAUUAUUUUAGGUGUGGCUAGAGAGUUGAUUUGACAGGAAAAUAUUGUGAGUCUAGUAUCUUGAUAUUUAUCUUACAUUGAGUAGAAAAGUAGGUGUAGUAAAGCUUGAGUAUGUUUAUUUUUCUUUGUAAUACUUGGGGAUUGGGUUGAUGAGUGAAAUUCUAUAUGAUUGUAACAAUUUUUCAUAUAGUGAAAUUCUAUAUGAUUGUUUAUUUUUCUUUGUAAUACUUGGGGAUUGUGUAUUAUAUUCUUUAUUUUUCAUGUUUGCUAAUAUUCUUUUGAACAACAAAAGAUCUUGCAGGUAAAUAGAAAUAAAGGGAAUCGGCAUGAAAUUCUCAACAAGUGGUAUCAUAGCAUCAAGUGGUUUGGAGUAUUGGAGCAAUAGAAAAAUAUGUCGUCGUUAAAAUAUAACAUGGAGAAAUUUGAUAAGAGAAUCAAUUUUGACUUGUAAUAAGUACAAGUGGAGGAUUUAUUGAUUCAAGCUGGACUAUAUAAGGCUUUGAAAGGAAACCCAACUAAGAGUUUUAGCAAGAUUGACAACUCCAUGAGGAAGAAAGUAACUUAUUGGAACUACCGUCAGACUGGCCACGUGAAGAGAAAUUGUCCAAAAGGUGGAGCAAGGUCGACUAACUGCUUGGGGAUCGAACAAUACGUCUUUCCUGAUGAAGGAGGAUGCGGAUGUGGUGUUGUAAAGUAAGAUGGGAAUAUCCUCAUAGCAUGUCGUCAGUUGCCAUAAUAGAGGAUGUGUUCUUACUGGUGCGGGUCAACAUAUAGGCACAUAGCAUUGACUGACAUUUGAUGCAAAGUGUGCAGGUAUGUGGUGGUAUUGUAAUAUCGAUGGCUGAUGAACUCUCUAGAAAAGUCAAUGGGAGAGUUGCACCAUAACUAUCAGCAGGGUUAUUUCGACAUGUAACCGAUAAAAUGCUUGAAGUUCACAAAUAAUUCUAAGUGGUUAUGCUCAUAGAGUGGAGUAUGGAACCGUUAAAGUGUGUCAAAGGCUUACCUAUUUUUCCAAAUAUUGUGAUUAAAAGUUGUAGAAGAGAUAACGAGAUUUUGACUCAUAUUCGGUAAGGUGUAGAUUGUUGGAUAAUUGCCUCAGAAGUCAAAAGUUGGAGGAUUUAUAUUGCAAAUAAUAAAAAUGUAGUUAUUGUAUGGAAGAUUUCUAAUUAAAAUUGAGAUCAGAAUCCUUGCAAAAUUUAGUCUUCAAUUUACAAUCAAUUUUGAAGUCUUGCACACGAAGAAAUCCUCAUUGAGUUAAAAGAGUAUUGUUUGAGUUUAAAUUAAACUCUUCUAUUUGGUUCUUGAUCCUAUAAAUAGUGGAUGUAUUUCAUUAUUUUGAAUGUAGCUAGAGAGUUUAUCUGAGAGAAAAAUAUUGUGAGCCUAGCAUCUUGAAACUUUUUGUACAUUGGGUAAAAAAGUAGGUAUAGUAAAACUCGACUUUUUUUUUUUUUUUUUUUAAUAUUUUGAAAUUUUAUAUGAUUGUAACAAUUUUUCAUAUAUUGAAAAGUUUUAAUAGUCUGUUUAAUUUGUGCGUUAUAUUCUUUAUUUUUCAUGUUUGCUAAUAUUCUCUUGAACAACUAAAGAUCAUGCGGGUAAAUAUAAAUAAAAAGAAUUGGUGUGAAAUUCCCAACAAGUGUUGGGCCGGAGACUUGUUGGGUGGUUUUGAAUCUCUCUCACUCCAAAAGUUACUUCAAGAGAUGAUGCUUUCCCUCACAAUUAUAAACUGAAUGCCAACUCAUCUAGAACUAAUGUGAUAUAACCUCAACAAUCUCCUCCUUACACAUCGGACUUUGUGGGAGACUAAACACAUCUCCUCCUCACACAAACCCGUAUCUCCAUGACUAUUGGAUUGAAGACUUAUUGAUAAAUCGGGCUCUGAUACCAGUGUUGGGUGGUAUUGAACCUCUCACACUCCAAAAACUAGCUCAAGAUGUGAGAUUUUUCCUCGUACUUAUAAACUGAAUACCAACUCAUCCACAACUAAUGUGGAACGACCUCAACAUCUGUUUCAUCUAUAUAUCCAUCAUUUGAUUGAUUCACAAUGUCCAAGGUAGUUCUAGUGUGGAAAUCUUGGCAAUUUGAAAUUUCCUCUGGCCAAUUCUUCAGGAUGUGGAUUGUUCACGGUUCACUGCAGUGCUCGGCUGAAUCCAAAAAUUCCCCUGGAUAAUUAUAGGCCCUAUGAGAUUCUGAAAAAGUCAUAUCCCAAUCAGUUAUUUAUUCGAAAUCAAUUUCUUCAUCGUGUUUUAUAUAGUAAUAAUUAUGAGGAAAGGUGCCACUUAUUUUUUGAUCCCCCUACGCUACUCCUUCUAUUUCGAUUUCAUUCUUCCCCAAUAUCACUUUGUUCGGAUGCACCAAAGAUAGGAACUACGACAAUGAGAUACCUAAUAUCCAAGAAAUUUAAUUCUUAAGUUACAACAACCAGAACCAUAGAACUUUAUAUUCUAAGACCUAGAAUCGAUUUGAAACAGAACCAAAGCGAACUAGCUGAUUUUACUUGGUUCUAGAUCGUUGGUCUUGGAUAAAAUUUCAUGCACUUAGGUAACAUAUUAUAUUACUUAUAUGGUAAUUACCUGUUUUAUAUGUUGGGUAACUUAUUGGGAGUAAUUAUGUUAUCGAUGUUAACUCCUAUCAUCAAUAUCAAUAUCAAUAUCAAUAUCAGAUUGCAGCCCCAAAAUGUGAGUACCACCAUUAUUGUCACUCUAAACCACCACCUUCUAAACAGUCAAAAUCAGCACCACCAUAUCCUCCAACCACUGCUACGCCAACAUAAAACCAUAACUAUCACGAUGGAAAGCUUUAGAAACACAAUAAUGAUUCCAAUAUGAAAAUAUUUGAUGAAUGGUAGUUGUGUUUGUUGCACGAAGUUUACGAUGAUAAAAUUGGAGAAGCGAUAAAUGUUGAGAAUGGUGAGUUUGGUGGCAAUUGGAUUGAGAUUCCAGUAACGGUGGCGGUAUAAGACAACAACAAUGUGGGAGCUUUUUGGUACAAUGGCGGAGAAGAUAACGAGAGGAGGUCGUUGAUUUGAGAAUUUUGAAUUGGGUGUGAUACGUUGCGACAGUGAUCCAACAUUAUUGGGGUGCUAGUUUGGAAUAAUGUUAUUUAUUAUUAUGAUGACGGAACAUCAAUGAUGUGGUAGUCUAUAUGAAAUAAUGGGAUUGGACAGUCUAAUUUUUAUGAAAGAGGAGAGAGGAGAUGUGGUCUCAAGAAAGAGAGAAAUGUGAGAGAUAAUGGGUUGUCGUAUCAUUGAUAUUCCAUCAUCAUGGUGAUAAAUAACAUUACUCGCUAGUACAGUGUUUUGUUGGAUAGGAAUUUGACAAGAAUGAAGGCAUGUUUGAAACUUUUUAAAUUAGAACUCUUUAUUUCUCAUAUUCAUUUUCAUUCACACAUUAAAAUAUUAUGUAGUAAACAAAAAAAAAAAUUCCUAUAUUUUAAUCACAUAUUUUUCAAAAAAUUACUAUUUGAAACAUCAUUUUCCUCCAAUUUCUAUUUAUAGUUUUCAUCAAACAGGGGCUUAGAAUAAGUUUAUAUAUAUAUAUAUAGUUACAGGUAAAAAUCUGUAAAACAUAAAAGGGAGUUAUUUUUUCAAUUUUCGCAAGAAAAGUGAGUCUCCAACCUUAGAACAUAUCUAAUGGACUUAAAGAUUAUAUUUUAAAAUUUAGAGAUCAUCUAUAAAUUUAGAGAUUAAAACUCCAACUUACUCUUUACUUUAAUACUUAAUACUUAAUUUACUACUUAAUAUGUAUUUAUUAUUUUUCACAUAUAUUUUAUUUUCGCUAGCUUCCCUUCAAAGUAUUUUAUUAUUUUCCUUCAUUUUCUUUGUAUAUACUACUUAAUUGGGUGCAUUGAAAUUGAAGUAUUUUGGAUUGGGAAAACUCAAACAAAGAGAAAUAAGGUCAGACAUUUCACAUUUGAAUAGUUGAUUUGUGAUUGUGACACUACCUACCUCAUACGAUGGAAAUUUGCUUAAAAUUACUUUUUUAAUUGCCGUACAGUAAAAAUGUAAAAUUCAAGGAAGUAACUAUCGUUUAAUUUUCCACCACAAUUGGAAAUGACACGAAGAGUGGGGCCUUGAAGUUGUUUCUGACUCGUAGGAAUACAAAAAAAUUCGUUGGAUACGAAACUUCGCUCAUCCGUGUUAUUUGUUUAGGCUGACUGUUUCAACUCAAUUCUUUUCGUUUUCACAAGUCUUCAUGAAAUAAAUCUAAGUCAACUGCCGUGUUCACUUUCACCCUGACUUACGUUGCGAGUGAAUAAAUUUAUUGAAUUUAGACAACCGCAGCAGAAUUUGAUUUCUCUAUUCUUCUUCUUCUUCUUCUUCUUCUUCUUCUUCUUCUUUCUGUUCGUUGUUGAGUUAGGCUGGCAUGGUUUUCUCCCGUAGGGCUGCUUCCAGUUUAGUUGUUUAUGUCUUUCUGUUUCAUAUAUAUAUCCUUCACUCGGUUGAUUCUCAAUGCCCAAGGCAGUUCCAAUGUGGAAAUCUUGGCAAUUUGGAGUUUCCUCUGGCCAAUUCUCCGGGAUGUGGAUUGUUACCGGUUGACUGCGGUGCUCUGCCGAAUCCAAUAAUUCACCUGGAUAAUUAUCCGUUUUCACCAUCCUAUGAGAUUCUGAAAAAGUCAUCUCCCAAUGAAUUAUUUAUUCGAAGUCCAUUUCUUGAACGUGUUUU
rnacentral:lncRNA from 1 species